AGACCUUCAAUCCAGCCUCCAUGUUUGUUGGCCUCUUAUGAAGAUCCCUCGCAAAUACUCAUGAACAUAAUCGACCCUCCAUCCUCACCGGUGUCCUCUCUGACAAAUUCAGAGGAAAGCACAGAGAACACUUUGGAAGACGCCAG